AUACGGAGGGUGCAAGCGUUAAUCGGAAUUACUGGGCGUAAAGCGUACGUAGGCGGUUCGUUAAGUUAGAUGUGAAAGCCCCGGGCUUAACCUGGGAACUGCAUUUAAAACUGGCGAACUAGAGUUGAGUAGAGGGGAGUGGAAUUUCAGGCGUAGCGGUGAAAUGCGUAGAGAUCUGAAGGAACACCAGUGGCGAAGGCGACUCCCUGGACUCGAACUGACGCUGAGGUACGAAAGCGUGGGUAGCAAACGGGAUUAGAAACCCUAGUAGUCC
rnacentral:rRNA from 1 species